CGGGGGACCUGCGGAAGGAUCAUUAUCGAAUUAUAAUGCUGGGGUUGUAGCUGGCCUUUCAAUCGAGAGGUAAUGUGCACACCUUGGUCAUUCCAAAUUCUUAUACCUCUGUGCACUUUACAUAGAACGAUUUAUUAAGUUGGGUGAAAGGGUCGACUCUCUCGAGUUGACUUCAGUAGUUCAACUCAGUAAGUCUUCUGUGGUUCAUACACUUAUACCAGUCAGUCUAGAAUGUUAUACCGCGUUUAACGCAAACUAUAUACAACUUUCAACAACGGAUCUCUUGGCUCUCGCAUCGAUGAAGAACGCAGCGAAAUGCGAUAAGUAAUGUGAAUUGCAGAAUUCAGUGAAUCAUCGAAUCUUUGAACGCACCUUGCACUCCUUGGUAUUCCGAGGAGUAUGCCUGUUUGAGUGUCAUGGUAUUCUCAAUUCUAAUAACUUUUGUUAUUCGGAAUUGGACUUGGAGGUUUUUUGCCGGUGCUUCGGCGGCUGGCUCCUCUUAAAUGCAUUAGUGUGAAUCAAGUUACACGUUACUCAGUGUGAUAAUUAUCUGCGCUGUGUUUCAACGUUGACUUCAUAAGUGUUCAUGCUUAUAACCCGUCUGUUGACUCAGACACUUUACUUUGAAAUCUGACCUCAAAUCAGGUAGGACUACCCGCUGAACUUAAGCAUAUCAU
rnacentral:rRNA from 1 species